ACCCUAAUCCCCAUUCUCCUCUCCGCCGCCGCUCCUCCCUCGCCGUCGCCGGCUGCGCCCCUGCGCCGCCACCCCAUCUCGAGCCUCCUCCCCCUACGACCCCACUUCCUCCCGUCAUCCGCUCCCGCCCCCAGCGCCGGCAACGAGAGAGCCGGCGCAGCCAGGACCAUGGCGUCGCGGCCUGCCUGCUCGCCGGCGCGCGCGUGCACCCUAUGCGCGCGGCUCCGUCGAGCUGGCCGGACUCCGUCGCAGCUUGGCCGAUGCAGUGCUGCAGUGUUCCACGCCGGCGAGGUGUCUCCGGCCACCAGGACGCGCCGGCCGCCAAGUCGCGAGCUGCGGAAGGCCGUCGUCCUCCACGCGCUGCAAGGAGGGCGUCUCCUCGGAGGAGGGGAACCGCGCUGUUCGGUGGUCUCCCCCAGGCCCGCCAUUCCGGCAGCAGCUGCUCCUGUUUCCUCCGUCUGCGUGGAGAAUCAAAGGUUGCUGGGAGUCUGCCCGUGGCUGAUGAUGUCAUUGCCAGGAACUGAAGGAGGGUGGCUGGCUCGAGAUCAGGCGUCCACGGUGUGCAGGAGCAUGCCCGAAGGCCCACUGCGGCUACCUGGACGCUGUUCCGGAGAUCAUCGACAUCAGCAACAAAGAUAGGUCGAGCUGCUGCAUGUUAUUGAUUUUGUUGGACAGCUUCAAAACACCGAGAUCCAUUCAAGUUCACUCGCAGAUGCUUAUCCUGUCAAGGCAGUCGUACAGGAAGAUGCAUUUGAGCUGUGCAAGGACAACAGAUACAGCCAGCCAACAGGGAAGAGUGGGCUGUCAGCCGCAGAAAAUUGAUGACAUUGUACAACUCCGUGGGCUGCCAUGACUCCGACAUGGCUCUAACGACCACCUCCCCAACAAGCUACUGCCGGUUGAAAGCAUGUCGGAGGAGGAUCUGAAGGGCGAGAACCGGCGUCGCAGUGGAACCGGGAGGAGGAGGUGUGGUGGCGAACACCAUCUGCGACAUCAAAUAGUGCAUCGUGGAGGCGCUCAGGUGGUUGUGAAUGGACUAGUCUACUGAUUGCGAUUGUUUUAGUGUACGGAGCUUCCACUUGUUCUUCUGGAUUUAACGAUUGAAUUGGUUCUAUAUUGGUUGGACAAUAGUUCAAAUGGUCCCGUAAAUCUCAAAUGGUUCCCUAAAUCUCAAAUGGUUCGGUCAUAAUUGAACUUUUGCUUACAGUAUCUCAUCCCCUUAUUAUUUUGUUGCAUGCAAAUGGUGUAGCGUGAUUCCAGUUAUGCCUAAGUUGGGAACAAUAGGUUCUUAAUUGUCGAUUGUUGGAUGCUUAAGUUGGGUACAUGUGCGUUUAUUAGUGGCUGUUAUUUGGAUCCUUCUAUAAAUAUAAGUGUUUUUUUUACCUAACCAUGCUUUGUUCUUGCUCGAGGAUAACUAGGAGGGCUAAACAAUGAGAGCGGUCGCCUUGGUGUGACCCCAUGUGUUUAGUACUGGAAUCGUGCCAUUGCAGGUACUAGUUGAUAUUCUCAGCAUUUAACAUGCUAGUCAAGCUGGACUGCGUGUUUGAAUGCAUCUAGAGGUGCAGCGAGGCAAGCCAACGGUGAAGCGCGGGCAAGGCAGACGCACCAAACGACGACAUUGUAGAACUGUGUUGCCGGCUAGCUCAGGCGGAGCCGCUGCCGUGCUGGCCUAGGACCGGUUGGGUAAUUGUGUUGGUGCUGUCAUAUUCAUCAUCCAGAGGUGGUAGUAGCCCGAUGAAUUGUGUGUGUAAUAAUAAUAUUCAUUCAUGCUCCGGAUGGCAGAGCAGAGUUUGUUGUACUGUAA